GACGAACGCUGGCGGCGUGCCUAAUACAUGCAAGUCGAGCGGACAGAAGGGAGCUUGCUCCCGGAAGUUAGCGGCGGACGGGUGAGUAACACGUGGGCAACCUACCCUGUAGAUCGGGAUAACAUCGAGAAAUCGGUGCUAAUACCGGAUAAUCAUUUGAAGUGCAUGCUUCGAAUGUAAAAGAUGGCUCCGGCUAUCACUACGGGAUGGGCCCGCGGCGCAUUAGCUAGUUGGUAAGGUAAUGGCUUACCAAGGCAACGACGCGUAGCCGACCUGAGAGGGUGAUCGGCCACACUGGGACUGAGACACGGCCCAGACUCCUACGGGAGGCAGCAGUAGGGAAUCUUCCGCAAUGGACGAAAGUCUGACGGAGCAACGCCGCGUGAGUGAUGAAGGUUUUCGGAUCGUAAAGCUCUGUUGCUAGGGAAGAACAAGUGCCGUUUGAAUAAGGCGGCACCUUGACGGUACCUAACCAGAAAGCCACGGCUAACUACGUGCCAGCCGCCGCAGUAAGAC
rnacentral:rRNA from 1 species